UCAGACGCUGUCACUUUCAAGAUGGCGGCGUUACUCUUAAGACGUAAUAUUUUCUCGCGAUUGAAUAUAAAAUUCAUUGUGUUUUCUCAAAAUGCUGCGUGUCUGUGCGUGUGUACGUUUGCUGUGUGCUGUUGUACGAGCUGAUUGCUGAGUGUGGAUUCAUAUUUAAUCGCGAGUAACAUGAAAUAUCAGGUACUCUUUCUGUAAUAUUAAUCUACACAUACAGUGUACGUAAGCUUCUCAUAUAAUAUACAAUGAGUUAUAACCAAAAUCAAAGUAUUAAUUCUCAAUCUAAACAAUAAUAUAAUUUUGUUUACCUAUACGAUCUUAGCUGUGAUAUGUUUUCCAAACUGAAUUACAAUAACUUUAUUUUUCAUAUUUAAAGAGUUCAUUUCUGUUGAUACUACUACGCAGGUACUACGCAGUAAAUAUAGAUACAUUUACAACAUAUGUCUACCCAUAUCAUCUCAGUGUCUUUUAUUACACGAAACAUGCUUUUGUAUACUGUAUACAAUUUUAGCUAUGACUUAUUAUAUAAAUGAAAAUUAUGUCAAUAUACAGCGACUCUAGGAAAUCAUCCCAAUAUUCAGUACAGAUUCGCAGACACCGCGACGAAAUACGAACAAUCCAAUUUUAAUUUCAACCAACGAAAGCGGUUAAAUUACGUCGGUUUAUACAAUGUUACUGAGCGCUGCAGCAUAUUACGUGGCAGAUUCAAUCUUUUUGCAAUUCGACCGCAAGCCGGUCGCAACAGGUCCCUCACUCCCGUCGUGUCAUGUGCAUGCGUGAAUAAAUCCCUGGAAAACGAAUAAAUCACAGCAGAAUGGCCACCGAAAAAGAUAAGAAUAUCAAGGAAAGUAUACUUACGUACGAUUCCUGUUCUGGUCCCAACUGCACUUUUGUACCCAUUUCGUAAUAUUUUAUAACCGCAUCGUAAUGUUUCACGUAUGAGUAUCGAAGCAUAUGCGAAAUUGUCGUUUGAUGACCAACGCGACUGAUUAUAAAUCGAUAUUCCUGUUUAUAUCAUAUUAUAGUCUAUAUUACUUUAUAUUACUUAAUUUUUUCUUAAGCUUCAUAAUGUAGAAGAAGUCCAAUUACUGUAACAUACUGUAAGCAGAGUGACGAACAAAAGAAAGUUCAAAAUUUAUACUUAUGUACACGAGAGUAUACGUAAAAUUUGUGUUAAACAUGCACAAAGAUAUAAGACACACAAUUAUAUUGUACAUUCAUUUCCUUUGUAACUAUACAAUUCAGUAUUGUAAAAUUACAGCGUUUUUCCCAUUUACACUUUAAUCUUUCUUUUGACCGUCACUAUAGAGGCCACAGUUAUCCUCUUUUCAUCAUCAAGUUCGUAUUUCAUGAGUAGCAUCCAGAGUUGUAUAUUCCAAAUUCCAAACGUCCAAAAAUAUAUAGCCAGACUUAACCAGUAUAAUUGGCUUUCACGUUUCUCGCUUAGAUCCCAGCAUUACUAUGUAUAUAAAAUUACAGUCUACCGUGAAUCGGAUCUACUCUUAAGCGGACCCAUAGUAAUGUUGUAGUAUUUGUUAAGCAAAUGUUCAAUCAUACAUAACUAAGAGGAGUUACGUCUGCGUUCCAUGCAUUAUAAAGAUGACUGCUAGUCCCGGUUUGUUCUUACCGGCUUACCAUAUUGUCUGUUCUAAGCAAAGUGACGUUAACUUGGAGUGUACAUGGCUCCUCUGAUAUUCUAAUAGAAUAAGCAAUGGAAUUGUAGACGCUAGUGAAUGUUACGCACGUGGUUGACCAGACCACAAACUUUAAUCCAAGUAGAUUCGCCCUACAUACAGUGGCUAAUGAAAGUCCAUAUUCCAACACUUACCAUGGAAUUUUUUAAUGAAUAUAUUAUAAUUUUAGGAAUUUCUAAGAGUGUUAAGAAUAUUUUUGUGAGCCACUGUGAGUGGCUGGCGAUCUGGUAACGAGAGAUUAAAAUGCGAAAAAACGUGACAUUUUCAUCUUUUUUUGUAGGCAAAAGAGGCUUCAAUGAGACGAUUCCAAUUUCCUAGAGUAGUAAGCAUUGGCUGCACAAUUAAUAAAUAACUAACAAAAAUUACAAAUUAUUUUACAGUGUGAAGGCGAAAUUUCAAGGAAUAUAUUUUUAAACAAUUUGAAGCUUGCGUAACUUCGUGCUACGUAAUCACCAGUAAUCUCUUUGUGUUCCCUAGAGGCAACACCCGAGUGAAAAGGUUAAUAAUAAAUUUUAAUGAUAAAUUUUGAUAAUAAAAUAGUACUUUCAACGCGUUUAUCUCGGAAAGCUAUUUUCGCACGUUAAUCUCUUUUAACCAGAGCACAUCACACAUGAUGCAACUUAUUGGUCGCCCAACAUUAUCCGUAAUGUAACGAAAUUUUGACUUUUGGGGUUGAACUGUGAACGAUGCAAAAAGCACGUUCUGUCGCAUCACGUGAAACACUGAUUGUAUUACAGUUACGAGAAUUGCAUUCCUCUCAAUAGUAAAUUUAAUAACAAUGUUUUGAAGCGAUCUCUAUCAUUUUACGUGACUACCGACCCAAACAGUCACUACGCUUCAUAAUUUCGAAUAUUGUCUCUUUGAUGCGUGCGUUUCUCUCUCCGUCUAUCUUCCUCGCUACCAGAUAUAUUUUCCAAUUAUUAUCUUCAACAAUUUAUUUUUAUUGUGUGCUUUCUACCAGAACAGUUUACCCAUGUAAAUUUCCAAACGAUCGUUGCCAUUUCAGCUCGAUAAUCCCGAUUUACGAAUGAAAUUACGUAAAUUAUACUCAGUCAAACAAAAGGGUACUCGCGAUAUUUACGAAGGCCAUUAUAAUGCAAAUAUAAGGGUAUUUAUCAGGCUGAAUCUCUUUCGAAACUGUUAAUAUCAUCCCUGCCGUUGAUAAAUCCGAAUAUUUCAAAAUGCAUUUUAGUUAAAAGUUUGAUGCGGUCACUGACCAAAAAUUAGUAAAUUGACACAAUAUAGGCAAAAAAAAUUUUAGAAUUAUCGAAGAAAACUAAUCUAAUUUACUUUUCUCUUUUAUCAUUUUUGCGAUACGUUUUUGCAGCCUGUGGUAUUCAAUUUUAUCAAACUUUUAUUUCGCUUUUUUUUGUUAUAUUUAAUAAUUAUAUUUUAUUUCAUAAAGUAAAUUUCGAUUUAUAUUUGAUAUUCACGAACAUUUCUCUGACAAUUAUCGAACAUUUUUACGCAACAGCUUUUCAAAUUUAAAUGUAUUUCACCGUCACAUGAAGAAUAGUGAAUUCUUUUUGUAUGGAACAAAGAAUUAUGCAAUAUUGCGAUACGCGGCUAGCUUCUUUAUUUUUAUGCGACAUGUUCAUGCAUCAUCAUUUCAUAUUUCACCUUUGUUCCGCCACCAGCUCUAAUUUUAUUAUACUUUAUUAUGCUGUAGCCUGGAUUUCCCUCGUGCCAACAUUUAAUCCAUAAAGAGAUUGCUAGAAUUUCAUAUUCUAAUUUUAUGUUGUACACCGACAAGUCACUCCCAUUUAGUGUUUCUCCACAUGUUAGUUGGUCGAUAACUCUAUAUUAUCUUUCCUUUUUUAACAUUAAAAUAUAUUUACAUAUAUUUCUAUAAAAUAUUUUUGAAAGUAGAUAAAUGUAAUUGAGUAGUGAAAACAUUUACGGGUAAUAAAAGUGAAUAAUAAAACUAAUGCAAUUUCUUCAUUCAGAUAGUUUACAUGCUGUAUUGUGAGCCAUUCUUUUGAAAAUUAAGAUUGACUGCCAAAUUUACGGGUGUAAUGGUUCGCAGACCUCUUUUAUGAGACAAAUGCUAGAUCGGACAAUCUAGAUACUUCGUUGAGCGAUAUAGAUGAACUUUUCCUCCUAAAGUGUCAUUUCCCGACACACAGACAAAACCUGUAUACCGUGUGAAAAGAACACGGUACCCCAUCCAUAAACCAGAAUGUGAAUUACAUUUAUGAAGACUGAGUUAUGACAUAGAAUACAUUUAUAACUACAUACGUAUCUAUUGGAAGUUAAACAUGGAAAAUGCAAAAUAUGUCAGCUAUUAAGAAAGGAAUUCAACGAGGAAAUAAAGUCUCAAACGUGAUGUAACAUAGAAACACGAGACAGUGCAAGCUAAAAUCCUGUGCGGUGCUAAUAACUCCGUCGUAACAGCGUUCUUAACUACCCUACGCGAGGAACGAAACUUGUAAAUCAAGUUGUUUAGCUCCUUUCGAAGGCGACAGACGGGACAGAGGUUGUUUCGUUCACAAUAACUAAUUCUUGAUGGUACGCGAACGCGCGGGGCUAAUUGAAGCACGCUUGAAUCUACAAGAAUAUUAGGGCCGGGUCGACACGAGCAUAGAAACGAAGCGUUAUCCCAGCGAUUGUCCCAUUCGCUCGUCGGUUCCGCGCUUGUUUCUACCGCGGCCGGAGGAAAAUUUGUACGAGCCCCGACGAACGUAAACAAUGGAUCCGGCGCCGUUGCUGAAUAACCUCGUUACCGAUGGAGGAGCAUAAAGAUCACGUCCACAGUGGCGGAGAGCGAUAGGAUCCUCUAGAAACUCCUCAGGCCGAUGUAUUUGCUUGCUCGAGUACGCCUCUGCUAAUUAUAUUACUCUUUGAAACUGUAUCCGCCAGUCUUUGGAACAUUGAUCUGCUAUUGUGUGCCAGGCCACGGUAUCUACAGGGUGACUCGGAAAUGCGGGUCCAGGAGAUAAAUCUACCCACUAAAACAAGUAAAAACUGUCGUACGUACAUGCGUUCUACGUUCCAUACUUUUCGAAUUAUAGACGACGAAGGAGAGUAUCUUGCUCUUUCGGUUUUUCAUGAUCAAUUAUGUUACGCGUCACACUUUUGCGCCAAUGUUUCGUGAACGUUAUAAUUUGUUUCUGCAGAACAUGAAACUGUUUCGGGUUUGCUCCGAAGAAGCGAGUUGUAACGUUCAAAAAUAAAAAGACGUGACAUCCAUCAACCGCCGUAAAAGUUUAAACGAAUGAAUUUAACCACAUUGGCCUGGGAAUGGUUCAUACGAUACUUCUUACUUACUUCAGUGUGUAGAUUCACCCGCCUAUGUAUGGGCAUGCAUUCAUGAAUCGCCCUGUACAGAUAUAUACGUGUAUACCGAGGAAUUAUACUUCGUUACAUUCGUUGUUGUAUCGUAUUUCCCUGCUGAAGACUCUUCGAAUGCAUCCUCCGAGAACUACCGGACGUGAAGUCCCGACCUGAAGAAGAUCAUCAGCUUACUAGGGGAAAAGAUCUGAAGGAGUUCGAAGAAGUUUCUCCGAACGAACGGACGAGCAAACGAGCGUGCGGUUCCUCAUGUGUAUAUAUGUAUAUGGCCGCAGGUGUAUUCAUGCAGACAGAACGAACACCGAGGACCUGUGUAACUUGACGGAAAAUGGUCCGACACAUUCGAAAUGAAAAUGCAGUCGAAGGUAAUUGGAAAAGUAAGUUGAGAAGCGGAACGACGAAACGACAGCGCGCCGCGCUGGACGUGGUUUUGAGACAGAUACGUAAAUCUUUGUGUUACAAUUGAUAUUGAUUGAUCGUGUACGCUAUUAUGGAGUGACUAGAAUUAGAAGAAUAAUUUUUUCGUAACUUCGAUUAACUAUACACAUUUUACUUAACUCGUAUAAUGCAUUUUGAUCGGUAUCUAGACCAUAUUUUUUUCAAAUUGAGUGAUCAAAACAUCGAGCGUUUAUUCCUUCUCAUUUUACAAGAUGUGACAUUAUAUAAUAAGUUUAACACACAUCUAUAUCUUCUACCUUACACGUAUUACUUUCAAAAGCUGCACUCCGUAAAUAUUUAUAGAGAUAUCCCGCUUUGAUCGGCGAAACAUAAAGCGGGAAAGUUACAAACACAGCGCUGUCUGGAUUAUUUUUCCUCCGGAAUCGUAUUUUAUUUCAUUAUUACCAUAAUGUUUUUCCGCCAUCGAUCUAACCCGAUAACAUUAAUUAGCAAUUUUAUCGUUUGUCGACGAGUCGACUAGAGAUUUUUAACGAAUCGUCGAUGCCUUCGAAGGUAACUUCGUUAUACACUGGCUAGGAAAAUCGUUCCCUACUUAUCCCAAACAAUUUCCAGGAGAAACUGCUUGAAAACCAACUCGAAACUACUCCAGGAAAUCGAUUCUCUCCGUGAAUCUUAUUAUACCUUACUUUUAAUUCCACUUCAAUAGGAAACUUGUUGAUCGUUCGCGUGACAGCGCACACAGCAUUUCCAGUCAGCGUGCCCCGUGAAAUGUCAUCUUCGUCUCUAGAAUCUUUCGAAUACAGCUGCUUCGUAGAACCUACGCGAGAUAGAAAUUGUAAUAUUAUCUGUCCCAUUAUUUUGUAACAAAUAAUCAGUGUCAGUUAGUAUCUGAAAACAACGUAAUAUUCCAAUUUACAAUAGCUGCAAACUAUUGAAUGAAGCAUUUUUUAAACCAGGUACUAUACGUUUGGUUUUUGGAGUAUCAAAUUUUUAGUAGCACUAAAUGAUACGAAAUGUGGUAUAAUUGGACCUAAUUAAUUAAUAUGUAAAUGCUACAAUAAAUACCAGUAUGUUUUGGAACCACUGUACGUACACAGCUGGGCUGAAAAAGAACAUGAUCGCCGAUCUAUUAACUUAAAUAUUAAUUUAAGUAUGGGUAGAAAUUGCUUGUCUUAUUCAAAGUAUGUUUCUUUGACACCGAUACCGGGUAUAAAAAUAUAAAUGACACAUAGAAAAAUGAUCAUAGACCGAUAAAUGAGGCUCCCAGAAGCCAAAUUAAUCCAUGUCUAUUUUUUGUAAACUUUUCAAUUUCAUUAGCCACAAGUUUAUUUAGUGUAAGAAGACGCAUAAGCAUCUUGAAGGUAAAUUUAGGGGAACAGUAUGUGAAAAGCACUUUUUCGCUUAUCAUCAUUGUUUGCAAAUUAAUGAAGAUGACUUGUGUCACAUCGCAUUUGCCUUCCAUCUGUGUCGAAUAUCGUUUACCAUGGCGGUAGGAUUGAUUAUCGCAUUUCGGUAACGUGGACAAGCUUUUAUUGGAUUAAAAUGCAAUAAAACUCAAUUACACUUUCGUGGGCUGCGAAUUAUCGAUCGAGAUUUCGGACCGUGGCCUCAUUUCAUUCGAGUCCUGAUCUAUUUACAACACGUGUCACAUGACCAAAACGAAAUCACAUACAAAUGGACAAACAAAGCGCAAAAUAAUGGAGUAAAGGCGAUGAUCGUUGAUGAUCGCUAAACGGUAAACAAUCUUUCAAUUAUGAAUAUACUGUUUUGCGUCGUAUUUCGGUACGAUUAACAAACUUUCGUUCGCAAAUAAAGGGAAUUCAUAAAAAAGAUUAAUGUUCGGUGAAUUAAACAAAGCAAUUUGCAAAAGUGCAAAUUCUGAAAAUAAGUGAUCGAAUGUUUGUGUGUACAUUUUUCAAGAAUACUUCAACGUUAUUAUUAUGUAAUUUAUUUCGUGGCAUCGUGAUCUUUUCUCGGUGAAGAAAAAUAUGGUUUGGAAAAAAUAAUGUAGAAUAAUACGUACGUUAUAUAAUUUUUAAUUAAAUGGUAGAAAAUCACUGUCUUAACUACGUUUUCAAAAUACAAACGUCACAUUUUAGUAGAA